rnacentral:rRNA from 1 species
GGGGCAUUCUGAGUACGCUCUACACCCUUUGUGAACAUACCUACAACUGUUGCUUCGGCGGGUAGGGUCUCCGCGACCCUCCCGGCCUCCCGCCUCCGGGCGGGUCGGCGCCCGCCGGAGGAUAACCAAACUCUGAUUUAACGACGUUUCUUCUGAGUGGUACAAGCAAAUAAUCAAAACUUUUAACAACGGAUCUCUUGGUUCUGGCAUCGAUGAAGAACGCAGCGAAAUGCGAUAAGUAAUGUGAAUUGCAGAAUUCAGUGAAUCAUCGAAUCUUUGAACGCACAUUGCGCCCGCCAGCAUUCUGGCGGGCAUGCCUGUUCGAGCGUCAUUUCAACCCUCAAGCUCUGCUUGGUGUUGGGGCCCUACAGCCGAUGUAGGCCCUCAAAGGUAGUGGCGGACCCUCCCGGAGCCUCCUUUGCGUAGUAACUUUACGUCUCGCACUGGGAUCCGGAGGGACUCUUGCCGUAAAACCCCCCAAUUUUCCAAAGGUUGACCUCGGAUCAGGUAGGAAUACCCGCUGAACUUAAGCAUAUCAAUAAGCGGAGGA